AUCGCAAACAGCUGAGAGACAUCUGAAUUUGAGGAGGCUUUGAGGUGUGGAAUGGAAGAUGACUCAGCCAGUGCAGAUUGACAGGUUGAAGGCAAAGUGGGAAUGAGGACACCUUGGAUGGAUGCCAUCACCUGCAGCCAUCCAAUCAACACGCAUCUAUAAACUGCCCGUUGUGUGUAUGGUGCUGUGUGAGGUGCUGGGAACACCCGGUUGAGAAAGAAGUGGCUGUCAUCCUUGUGAAGCUUAGCUGCUAAUGAAAGACAAGCCUUGAACCCACUAAGAAUGCAACUGUAAUGGAUUUCCAGGGACAUGAUGCCUGAAGGACUCUAGUGGGGACAAAGGCCUCUGAUGCCCUUUGGACAGACG